CUUAGCAUGUAGCCUCUCGCUAACCUUUUAAUUACUGUUCGUGGGGCAUUAACGAUUCGUUUGUUGCAUCCUAGCUUGUCGUUUCAUCUGUGUGCGUGUCUCCUUCUGUUGCUUCAGUAGUAGAGUUGAUGACUGCCCUCCUUUCAGGUAUGUGAGUUAAAGCUGUUUUGUAGCAAACAGAUCUAGCUUCGCUUGGGGCUUGACAAUUUGGCGGCUGGUUUGAGUAAUGUGCAGUUCCCUGUAUUUCAGUUUAGCAGUGGGUUAUAUGAAGGCUGUGUAUCCUGGCCUGUGAACGGAUCAUAAAGCACAUUUGUCCUCGUUGGUAAAUGUCUUGCAUGUGGCUACGAGUGGGGAAUUUUAGUGGGUGAUUAUUAGUAACACUGUUUUGUGUUUUGUUAUUCGUAUUUGCUGCAGGAUUCUCCCUUUCGUUUUGGGUGAUUAUUGUUGCAGCUCUGUCGUUUUUCUGCUGCCGCGCUGCAAGAACGCUGUUACCUCGCAACUAAUAAAAGGGGAUUGCUGCUGCUGUCUGGUUUCUUUUGAUUUCUAGUUUAUUUUAUUUAUUUUUAUCUCGGGGUGGAGGAUCGUCCGUUUGAUUAUCGGAGCUGGCGUACAGACUACGCGGUCGCUCCCUAUGAGUCCUGUCUUCCGUGUAGUUGAGCUGAGUUUCUUCUUUGGGUUUUCUUUUUCUCCCUUUUUUUUGAAUUUUUGUAUGUUGUUUGUGCUGUACUGUGGUUAUUUUUUUUGUACCCAUUAUUAUUGUUUUUUGAUGGAACUGUGACUCCAUUUGAUUUUCAUUUACUUCUGUUUAUAAGAAUUAUCUAUUUUGUUUUUGAUUUUCUUUCAGGAGCUGGGGUCCCAUGGGUGAAGGAUCUUUGGUGGUGGUGCUGCUUCAACGUUUGCCGUUGGACACUUUUUGAAGUGUUUGGGGUGGAGGAUCGUCCGUUUGAUUAUCGGAGCUGGCGUACAGACUACGCGGUCGCUCCCUAUGAGUCCUGUCUUCCUCGUAGUUGAGCUGAGUUUCUUCUUUGGGUUUUCUUUUUCUUCCUUUUUUUUGAAUUUUUGUAUGUUGUUUGUGCUGUAUUGUGGUUAUUUUUUUUGUACCCAUUAUUAUUGUUUUUUGAUGGAACUGUGACUCCAUUUGAUUUUCAUUUACUUCUGUUUAUAAGAAUUAUCUAUUUUGUUUUUGAUUUUCUUUCAGGAGCUGGGGUCCCAUGGGUGAAGGAUCUUUGGUGGUGGUGCUGCUUCAACGUUUGCCGUUGGACACUUUUUGAAGUGUUUGGGUGUGUGAUCUGAGUGCACGGUGGGGUGUGUGGAAGUGUGCUUUUGGAUAAUUAUUGCUGCUGAUCACUCCUGUGUGUAACCUCAGCCCCGUGGGAUAGUGUAUUUUUGUUUAUUGAACUGCUAUUGGAGAGAGAGAGCUGCCAGGAGUGGCAUGUUACCAUUGAGGCUAUUUUAAGUAUUUUUCUACCUUGUUGAAUUCAUUGUGAAUAAACUUUGUAUUUUUAUACGAUA